GAUGAACGCUGGCGGCGUGCCUAAUACAUGCAAGUCGAGCGAAUGGAUUAAGAGCUUGCUCUUAUGAAGUUAGCGGCGGACGGGUGAGUAACACGUGGGUAACCUGCCCAUAAGACUGGGAUAACUCCGGGAAACCGGGGCUAAUACCGGAUAACAUUUUGAACCGCAUGGUUCGAAAGUGAAAGGCGGCUUCGGCUGUCACUUAUGGAUGGACCCGCGUCGCAUUAGCUAGUUGGUGAGGUAACGGCUCACCAAGGCAACGAUGCGUAGCCGACCUGAGAGGGUGAUCGGCCACACUGGGACUGUGACACGGCCCAGACUCCUACGGGAGGCAGCAGUAGGGAAUCUUCCGCAAUGGACGAAAGUCUGACGGAGCAACGCCGCGUGAGUGAUGAAGGCUUUCGGGUCGUAAAACUCUGUUGUUAGGGAAGAACAAGUGCUAGUUGAAUAAGCUGGCACCUUGACGGUACCUAACCAGAAAGCCACGGCUAACUACGUGCCAGCCGCCGCCGUAA
rnacentral:rRNA from 1 species